UACGUAGGGUGCGAGCGUUGUCCGGAUUUAUUGGGCGUAAAGAGCUUGUAGGCGGCUCGUCGCGUCGGGUGUGAAAACUUGCGGCUUAACCGCAAGCCUGCACCCGAUACGGGCGGGCUAGAGUUCGGCAGGGGAGACUGGAAUUCCUGGUGUAGCGGUGGAAUGCGCAGAUAUCAGGAGGAACACCGGUGGCGAAGGCGGGUCUCUGGGCCGAUACUGACGCUGAGAAGCGAAAGCAUGGGGAGCGAACAGG
rnacentral:rRNA from 1 species